GAUGAACGCUAGCUACAGGCUUAACACAUGCAAGUCGAGGGGAAACGACAUCGACUGCUUGCUUUUGAUGGGCGUCGACCGGCGCACGGGUGAGUAACGCGUAUCCCACCUGCCCAUCACUUGGGAAUAACCUUGCGAAAGUAAGACUAAUACCCAAUGUCAUCCCCCGAAGACAUCUGAAUGGGACUAAAGAUUUAUCGGUGAUGGAUGGGGACGCGUCUGAUUAGCUAGUUGGCGAGGUAACGGCCUACCAAGGCAACGAUGCGUAGGCGAUCUGAGAGGGGGAGCGGACCAACGGGAAGGGAGAAAGGGUACAGAGUCCGACGGGAGGCAGCAGUAGGGAAUCGUGCGCAAUGGGGGAAAGCCUGACGGAGCAACGAAGAGUGAGUGAUGAAGGUCUUCGGAUCGUAAAACUCUGUUAUUAGGGAAGAACAAAUGUGUAAGUAACUAUGCACGUCUUGACGGUACCUAAUCAGAAAGCCACGGCUAACUACGUG
rnacentral:rRNA from 1 species